GAAGAUUCGAACAAUAGUGAAACUGGGUUUUUUAGAAAAUAAUAGAGAGAAGAGAAUCGAUCAAAAACCCAUGGAUUCGUACUACAAACAAGAGGAAAUCCACACUCAAUAAUGAAAGUGGACUGAGACAGGACGAUAAAUAACUUUCAAGCCAGAGUAGGUUGGAUAUCCAUGGGAUCCUCUCAAGGACUAAUGAAAUCAAAUAGCCAGAGGGUAGAAGAGACGGUGGGGGUCGGAGAAUGCACAAAAACACCAUAGAAGGGAGGUUCCCGCCGAUGAUGGAGAUUAGGGUUAGGGUGUUCUCAGAGACAAGAGAGGAGAUGAGGGAUUCAAGGACCGCGAGGUGUGACAAAGGUGUAGGAUUGGGGGGUCAUUAUAUUUAAAAAUUGUAAGAGAGAAUGGGGACCAUUGAUCUCAAAGAUCAAUGGCCAGGAUUAGAAGGGAUCUGGG
rnacentral:lncRNA from 1 species